GGGCACAGUCAUGCUACAAUAGAAAAUGUGGUCUUCUCCAAACUGUACCCACAAAGUUAGAAGCAUAUCAUUGUCCACAAUGUCUUGGUAUGCUGAAACAUUAAAAUUUCCCUUCUCUGGAAGUAACAAGUCUAGCCCAACAGCUGAAAAACAGCCCCAUACCGCUCCCCCUCCUCAACCAAGCUUUACAGUUGGCACAAUGCAGUCAGGUA